rnacentral:rRNA from 1 species
GCUACGGGAGGCAGCAGUGAGGAAUAUUGGUCAAUGGACGAGAGUCUGAACCAGCCAAGUAGCGUGAAGGAUGACUGCCCUAUGGGUUGUAAACUUCUUUUAUAUGGGAAUAAAAUGUUCCACGUGUGGGAUUUUGUAUGUACCAUAUGAAUAAGGAUCGGCUAACUGCGUGCUAGCAGCCGCGGUAAUAAGGGGGAGACGAGCGUUAUCCGGAUUUCAUGGGUUUAAAGGGAGCGUAGGUGGUUUGUUAAGUCAGUUGUGAAAGUUUGCGGCGCAACCGUAAAAUUGCAGUUGAAACUGGCAGUCUUGAGUACAGUAGAGGUGUGCGGAAUGCGUGGUGUAGCGGUGAAAUGCUUAGAUAUCACGAAGAACUCCGAUUGCGAAGGCAGUUCACUGGACUGCAACUGACACUGAGGCUCGAAAGUGUGGGUAUCAAACAGGAUUAGAUACCCCAGUAGUC